rnacentral:piRNA from 1 species
UGGGAUUACAGGUGUGCAGUAUACGUUGAG